rnacentral:rRNA from 1 species
UACGAGGGGUGCAAGCGUUAUUCGGAAUCAUUGGGCGUAAAGGGUGCGUAGACGGCAUAUUAAGUCACUUGUUAAAUAUCUCGGCCUAACCGAGAACAUGCGGGUGAUACUGGUAAGCUAGAGGGUGGAAGAGAGAAGUGGAAUUCUCGGAGUAGCGGUAAAAUGCGUAGAUCUCGAGAGGAACACCGAUGGCGAAGGCAGCUUCUUGGUCCACACCUGACGUUGAGGCACGAAAGCGUGGGGAGCAAACAGG